CUAACAACCCCUACAAUAAUAUUGAGUUUUUGGUAAAUUCUUUAUAUACUGAAGCCCAAAAUCUUUAGUGUUGUUUUAAAAUUUCUACCAUAAUAUUGAGUUUUUGGUAAAUUCUUUAUAUACAGAAGCCUAUAAUCUUUAAUGUUGUUUAAAAAUUUCUAACCAUAUUCUAAAUUUGUAUUAAUGUAUACUAAACUCAUUUUCAUGGUAAAUGAGCAUCGUUCAAUUGUUUUUAUCAAUUAUUUAAUAAAACUUCAUAACACUCCCUAAAUCGAUGGAAUAACCACUAUAAAAUUAUUAUUUUCUUGAUAAACGGAGACGACAAAGGCUCCAAACCUCUUUGAACAUCAUCAUAUGUUAGUGAAUGAUGCAUUUAGGCAUUAAAAAAAUAUUAUCAUAUUUUUUGAAAUUUUUUCAAAAUCUAUGGGCUAACACCUACAAAAAUAUUGAGUUUUUGGUAAAUUCGUUAUAUAAUGAAGCCCAUAAUCUUUAGUGUUGUUUUAAAAUUUCUAUCAUAUUCUACAUUUGUAUUAAUGUAUGCUAAACUCUUUUUAAUGGUAAAUGAGCAUCGUUCAAUUGUUUUUAUCAAUUAAUUUAGUAAAACUUCAUAACACUCCCUAAAUCAAUGGAUUAACCAUUAUAAAAUUAUUAUUUUCUUGAUAAAUGGAGACGACAAAGUCUCCAAACCUCUUUGAACAUCA
rnacentral:lncRNA from 1 species